GAUGAACGCUAGCGGCAGGCUUAAUACAUGCAAGUCGAGGGGUAGCAAGAUUGUAGCAAUACAAUUGAUGACGACCGGCAAACGGGUGCGGAACACGUACACAACCUUCCUACAAGUGGGGAAUAGCCCAGAGAAAUUUGGAUUAAUACCCCGUAACAUAGCGAUGUGGCAUCACAUUGCUAUUAUAGCUUCGGCGCUUGUUGAUGGGUGUGCGGCUGAUUAGAUAGUUGGCGGGGUAACGGCCCACCAAGUCUACGAUCAGUAGCUGAUGUGAGAGCAUGAUCAGCCACACGGGCACUGAGACACGGGCCCGACUCCUACGGGAGGCAGCAGUAAGGAAUAUUGGACAAUGGACGCAAGUCUGAUCCAGCCAUGCCGCGUGAAGGAUUAAGGUCCUCUGGAUGGUAAACUUCUUUUAUAAGGGACGAAAAAAGGUCUUUCUAGAUCGUCUGACGGUACCUUAUGAAUAAGCACCGGCUAACUCCGUGCCAGCCGCCGCCGUAAGAC
rnacentral:rRNA from 1 species